GAAGUUGGAUUCGCUAGUAAUCGCGCAUCAGCCAUGGCGCGGUGAAUACGUUCCCGGGCCUUGUACACACCGCCCGUCAAGCCAUGGAAGCCGGGAGUGCCUGAAGUGCGUGACCGCAAGGAGCGUCCUAAGGCAAUACCGGUGACUGGGGCUAAGUCGUAACAAGGUAAC
rnacentral:rRNA from 1 species